AUAUAUAUAUAUAUUAUACAAGCUGCUUAUAUAAUGUUGAAGGCGGGAGAUUCAGAGACAGACUGAAGGUGGACUAUGAGACUGGAUCUCUGACCAUCACAGAAACCAGACCUGAACACGCUGGACGUUAUGAAGCAGAGAUCAUCAGAAGAGAGAGUUCAGGAAAAAGGCAAAGCUUAAACAGAAACCGCAAGUGCGACAGCACAAAAAUCACCAAAAAAAUCAGCAUCACUCAUGAUGACACCAUAAAAACUUUCAGUAUGAUCGUGACUGCUUCUCUGUCGGAUCAAGUCAGGACUGAUAAAGAGCCCCAUGUGGAGAAGAGGAAGUUUGACUUGAGUAUCUUUGCUGUACAAACAAAUUUAAAGUAUGAUGGCAUUUUACAUGUGACAAUUACAUCAUGAGGUCACAGAGAGUCAAAAGGCGUCUCUUGACAUUUCUGGAGGCCAACCUCAUAGUCUUCCUAAACCUUACAUGAACUAUUCCAAUAUGGAAUAAUCCCUAUUUUUUAACAAAGGAAUACGCCCUUUGGACAUUCAAAAGUGUCCAUAGAGAGAAUAUAUUCAGUGAAUGUAUAAACACACUGUGAAAUUCUUUCACACUCAUGACUGUCUCUCUAUAUCACUCCAGAUUCAGGUCUGUCUUCAGCUGCUGUAGCAGGAAUAUGUGCUGCUGCUGUUCUGCUGCUGGUGACUGUUGUAGCUGCUGCUGGAGUGAUUUACUAUUGCCACAAGAGCUCCAGAAAUGUAGAAAGGCAGAAAAACCAGUAUAAAGGAUUGCCCACAGAUGAGGUAAGAUACUGUACAUCACACUAAGAUCUGUGUUUGAUUUUACCUGCACAGACAAAUCAUCCUAAUGCCAAAUAAAGCUUUUCAACUGAAUCUAAUUCACUGAUAGAUGACAGAUGUGUGGACUGGGUCUGAUUGUGACUGCAAACAGCACUGUUUGUCUCUCUAACUUUACCCUCUGUGAUUCAUUGUUUUCUAACAGACGAUCCCAAAAGUGUGAUUAUAAAAUGAGAAAGAAUUGCUGCAGAAACAAUCUUCACUGUAAAGCAUAAAACUUUUCUGGGUUUUGUUUAACUUGAUGAAACACUAAUUGCAACACUGGAACACACAAAUUGUAAGGCAAUUAAUGCUACCUCUUAGCUUCAAGAGAGUAAUUAUAUCCUCCUGGGACCCACGCAUAGACU